ACACCGUUGGUGAAGUGGUUAUCAUGCUUGCCUUCCAUUGUGUGAGCAAGCGGCUCGGGUUCGAUUCCCGAACGGUGUA